CAACCUCGGUUACCAAAAACCCAAAUCAGAGGCAUUCCUGCAACGAAAGCAGAGGAUGAAGCUCAAGGAAGACAAACAAAGACGGUCGGAAUGUGUAGAGGCUAUGUUAAAUCUCCAACAGACAGCUGAGAGCCCAGAUCUAACGCAGACAGCCGAGAGCUCCGAACCGAAGCAGUCAGCUGACAACUCACAGUCAAAGGACAUCAGUGGGAAUGGGACAUUAAAUGAUCAAGACUCUCUAGAUGCCGGAUGCCAGACUGAACUAACGAUGGAUGACAUUGAGAAGACCGAGGAUGUUCUGAGACAGAACACAACAGAGCUGGGAGAUCUUCGGACCAAAGCACUGGACACACAGUUCAACCAGGAGUCCUUUGAAAAAAAUGAAGACAAGACAAAGCUCUACACAGGGCUUCCCAACUUUUUGGUUUUAAUGCAGAUUUUUGACCUGUGCGAACCCUACAUCACAUGUGGUCCUCUGUCUGUGCUGUCUAAAUUUGAACAGUUCAUCUUAGUUUUGAUGAAGCUGAGACUAAAUCUCCCGCUGAAAGAUUUAGCUUUUAGGUUCAAGAUCUCUCUGCCCACUGCUUCUACAGUUUGGCAUAAAGUAAUUGACAUACUUCAUGAAAGGUUAGAAUUUUAAAUUGAGUGGCCAGAGCGGCAUGUACUUCAGACUACAAUGCCAAUGACAUUCAGACAGGCAUUUGGAUGUAACGUUGCUGUGAUAGUUGAUUGUUUCGAAGUUUUUAUUGAGAAGCCCUCUAAUUUACUAGCCCAAGCUCAAACGUGGUCAAAUUACAAGCAUCACCAUACUGUAAAAUUUCUGCUUGGUGUUGCAGCCCAAGGCUAUGUCACUUACAUAUCUUGUGCCUGGGGAGGGAGAGUCAGCGAUAAACAGAUCACAAUAGAGUGGCCUCCUAAAAAACCUGUUACCUUGGAGAUAUUGUCCUAGCAGACCGUGGGUUCAAUGUUGGUGAUAGUGUGGGAUUUUACUGUGCUUCACUACAGAUACCUGCAUUUACCAAGGGGAGAAAACAGCUGUCAGCGUAUGAGGUGGCAGAAAUAAGAAAAAUAGCGAAUUUGCGUAUUCAUGUUGAGAGAGUCAUCGGUUUAGUCAGAAGAAAAUAUCAGAUUCUCCAAAGCAGGGCUAUGCCCAUAGAGCACAUGGCAACAAAACCAGGUGAGGCACUAGCAAUGAUUGACAAGAUUGGGGUUAUUUGCUGUGUCUUGUCUAAUCUUUGGGAGUCUGUCGUCCCAUUAGAGUAAGGAGGAAGGGAAGGAGAAGAGGGAGGGACAUCAUUUUGUUAAUAUGUUUCAAAUGUUAUAUUUUUAUCCAAUAAUCCAAUUGUACUGGCGAUAUGUAUUAUAUUCAAUUCAAUUCAAGUUUAUUUGUAUAGCGCUUUUUACGAUACAAAUCAUUGCAAAGCAACUUUACAGAAAAUUAAGUUUCUAC
rnacentral:lncRNA from 1 species